AUUGAACGCUGGCGGCAGGCCUAACACAUGCAAGUCGAGCGGAGCGGCGGACGGGUGAGUAAUGCCUAGGAAUCUGCCCGGUAGUGGGGGAUAACGUCCGGAAACGGGCGCUAAUACCGCAUACUAUCAGAUGAGCCUAGGUCGGAUUAGCUAGUUGGUGGGGUAAAGGCCUACCAAGGCGACGAACCGUAACUGGUCUGAGCGGAUGAUCAGUCACACUGGAACUGAGACACGGUCCAUACGCCUACAGGAGGCAGCAGUGGGGAAGAGUGGACAAUGGGUGAAAGCCUGAUCCAGCCAUGCCGCGUGUGUGAGGAAGGUCUUCAGAUUUUAAAGCGCUUUAAGUUGGGAGGCGUUACCAACAGAAUAAGCACCGGCUAACUUCGUGCCAGCCGCCGCGGUAAUAC
rnacentral:rRNA from 1 species